GACGAACGCUGGCGGCGUGCUUAACACAUGCAAGUCGAACGGAAAGGCCCUGCUUUUGUGGGGUGCUCGAGUGGCGAACGGGUGAGUAACACGUGAGUAACCUGCCCUUGACUUUGGGAUAACUUCAGGAAACUGGGGCUAAUACCGGAUAGGAGCUCCUGCUGCAUGGUGGGGGUUGGAAAGUUUCGGCGGUUGGGGAUGGACUCGCGGCUUAUCAGCUUGUUGGUGGGGUAGUGGCUUACCAAGGCUUUGACGGGUAGCCGGCCUGAGAGGGUGACCGGCCACAUUGGGACUGAGAUACGGCCCAGACUCCUACGGGAGGCAGCAGUGGGGAAUAUUGCACAAUGGGCGGAAGCCUGAUGCAGCAACGCCGCGUGCGGGAUGACGGCCUUCGGGUUGUAAACCGCUUUCGACUGUGACGAAGAGCGAGUGACGGUAAUGGGUAAAGAAGCACCGGCUAACUACGUG
rnacentral:rRNA from 1 species